GUACACUCUUAAAGGCGCAUGC
rnacentral:miRNA from 1 species